GACGAACGCUGGCGGCGCGCUUAACACAUGCAAGUCGAGCGAAGCGGCGGACGGGUGAGUAACACGUGAGUAACCUGCCUUAGACAUUGGGAUAGCCUCGGGAAACCGGGAUUAAUACCAAAUGGUCUAAGAUGGACUCGCGUCCCAUUAGCUAGUUGGUGAGGUAACGGCCCACCAAGGCGACGAUGGGUAGCCGGCCUGAGAGGGUGAACGGCCAAAUUGGAACUGAGAAACGUGCAAAACUCGACGGGAGGAAGGAGGGGGGAAUAUUGCAAAAUGGAGGGAACUCGGAUGCAGCGAGGCGGGGGGAACGAAGAAGGCUUUCGAGUCGUAAAGUUCUUUUAUAUGGGAAGCGGUACCAUAAGAAAAAGCCCCGGCUAACUACGUGCCAGCAGCCGCGGUAAUAC
rnacentral:rRNA from 1 species